AGAAUCAACGCUGGCGGCGUGCCUCAGACAUGCAAGUCGAACGCGAAAGGCUCCUUCGGGGGCCGAGUAGAGUGGCGCACGGGUGAGUAACACGUAGGUAAUUUGCCUUUGGGUGGGAAUAACUCAGGGAAACUUGAGCUAAUACCGCAUAAUGCAGCGGCUCGACAUCGAGACAGUUGUUAAAGGCGGGGGAUCGCAAGACCUCGCGACCUAAAGAGAAGCCUAGGCGGCGAGUACUUAGGCGUUAGGUUGGGUAAGGGUAAUCGGACCUUACCGAAGGCGAACGAUUCCUAGGUAACCCGGCCUAGGAGGAGGGCCGGUCGGUCCACACU
rnacentral:rRNA from 1 species